UAGCAUAGCAUAACUUAAAGGAGAUACCAUCACAGAUGUGGUGACUGCGGGACUGAGGAGGAGAGGCUUUAAGCCCUCCAGGAAACAGCUGUUCCAGAAAGACAGAGUUACAGCAUAGACAUGAGUUACAGCACAAGUGCCCUUGUUGGCUCCUGCAGCCCUUUCCAAGCUCUCCUUUAGGCACAGUUUAAGACUCCAGGAUUGCUUCUUUCACACAGCACGUGUCAGUACCACAACAAAGAGAACCAACCAAACCACACCCAAGUGUUAACCUUGCAGGUAAAGUGCAAUAAAAAAUGAGUGCUGGCAUCCUAUGGGAUCAGUGCAGAUUUCUUUUCUUCCUUGUUGUGUCUCUUUUUAAAAAUACUGCUUGUUUUCACCAGUGAAUGCAGAGCUCACUACCCCAUGAUUCCAUGAGCUCCUUUCUAAGUAGAAAUAGCAAACUUAGACCUCAUCACUGUGUAAUUACAGUCAAGCUAGCUUUGCCCCUUCAUAUUUGCAUUCGUUGUUGGAUUGCCCAGUGAUGUGGGAUUCCUUCCUGACUCUUUCCAGUCAGUUUGGAUGUCCUGAGUAGUUCCGUAUCAGUAGAUUUGUCACUUCACUGUUUACUUAUUUUCCAGCUCAUUGGUGACUGUUGUACAAUUCGGGCCUCUGCGCAGAUGCAUGCUUUGUUAUUGCUCUACACAUUGGAGGUCUAUAAAGCAGAUCUGUAGUUAUGGUGUGACUUGACAUGCCCAGCAUAGUGCAGGCCUGCAGAGAUUAACUGAUUUUAUCCAUCUCCUUCCUGGAGCUUCUCUGUUGUGAGGCCCUUUGGAUUUCAUUUGCCUGCUAAAAGGUGCAAUUGCUGAUCUGGCCACUGAGGAAUCAUCAUCAGCGCAUCUCCUGGCAAAGCAAAGCACCUCCUUCCAGAAAAGCUGGUCCAAGAGAGAAGCCGUGUGCUGAGUCAGCCUGGCAGCUGUAUUUCCUGCUCCAGUUCUCUCCUUCUGCAUGAUUCACUCCAGUUCCCUGCCAGGAAGCCUUGGUCCUGGGUGAGACAGUGAGAGGCAGAGGGAUGCUCCUGCUGUCCUGCACCAGGAUAUUGGAGACCAGCUCCUGUGUGUCCUGGCUGCCCCGCAAGUAAUGUUGGUGCUGCAAGGAAAGGUGGGAAACUCAGAGUCACCAAAAGACUUGCUUGAGUUUCUUUGUCUGUUAGCAGUCCUGUGCUCUUGCCACAUGGCACUUUUCCUUCCAGACAGCUCUGGACAAUGGCUGUGAAUGCACGGGACAGCAUAUUGUCUGGCUGUGUGUAUUGCUUUUAUAUGGGCACUUGAACUAAAAGGGUAAAUCCUUUUAACUGUGGUGUUUUGAAGAGAGCAGCACAUUAGCCGGGAAGGAGGGUGGGCAGAUGAGAAGAGCUGUUUUAUUCAAUAUUGCUGCCACAGUUCAUACAGUCAGCACUGCCAAGACUUUGGGCGUAGCCAGUCUGACAUGGGAAACUGAUUGUUCAGUGCUGUUGCCUGGCUGCUGCUUGGAGCUGCAGCUCUGUGCUGUCUGCCUGGUGCUGAAGGCUUGGGGUCAGACCCAGCAAUUGCUGCUCAUCCCCUCGGAGAGGCACCGAUCCCACGCUGGUGGGUUUGGUUCUGUCUGGACUGUGCUCAGUUUGCUUCAGCACCAGUUUGUGAAAAUGCAACUGCAUGAUCUGCUGAGCUCAGACCUGCAAACAGAGCCAAGAGCCUCUCUGGCUUUGGAUCAAACUUUGCUGUGGUUACAUGGAUCGUGUGAUGGCGCAGCUGAUCCUUCCAGCAUUGUGUUCUUGCUUUUGGCCUCUUCGGUUGCACAAAGAGCUCAAAACAUUGUCCCCCUGAUCUGUUACUUAGUGAUACUAGGAUUGUCCUCCAGGAGUUGUUGAGGAAACUCCUCUGCCUGCAUUCCUGUUUAUCAGAGACUCCUUCCCAGCGUGCCAGCCCAUGCACAAAGCCUUCAGCAUCCUCAGCUGUGGGACAUGUGAACAGACACAGCUCCUCCCUCCGGCACAAUGGCACUCUCUUCCCUGCUCAGGACAGCGUGCCACGUCGGUCAGUUCCUCAAGAGCUUUGGUUCUCAGAAUUGAGUUAAAUCAGGCCUAAGCUGGACUCUGAGCCCUCCUUGAGAUAUUUUGACAGAGAAAUGUAUGCCUUGAAACGACUUGAAAAGAACUGUAGGGAGGGAGGAGAGCAGGAAAAAGCAUCGGCUGUGAGCGGCUGCCCUCUCCCGAGAUCUCUCCCCCUGCAAAGAGUGCAGCCUUGGCUCCUCUGUGACCUCUUUCUUCCUGCAGGGUAAUGAAAGUCAGCUCACUGUAAUGGCAGGCUGAAAGUCAGCUGCUCUGCCACAGGGUUAGUCCUCCGGAUAGAUGAAAGGAAAGUGGUUUGAUGUCCAAACGACUGUCACAGCUUUAAAGAAGAAUUAAAGCCAGAUGUUUCCAACCAGCCUGCUGAGAACAGCCUUUUCUGACAUAUUUGCCAAACCACCAAGGAGACCCAGCCAGUGCCUGCAGCGCUGCAUGUUGGGAAAGCACUGAUCCCAAAGGCUGUGCUGCAGUUGCUGGAGCACCCUGGCUGUCCGGAAUGAGCGCACCCGCAGGGCUGGGGCAGACAGUGCUGCCAGCUCAGUGUUUGUGCACCAUUGCUCAGUGUUUACUCCUCACUGAUCGUGGUGAUGACAGCAAGAUUGUGAUUGUAAACACAUCAAAUUCAACACCUUUUGCCUUGGGACAAAGUAUUGUAGGUAUUGAAGGUAUUGUAGGUGUUAAAGGUAUCGUAACUGGGCUGGCAUCAGCUCUCAGGUUGGUGGCUUGUAAUGGUUAAUGGAGUCCAGAAUGUCAUCCCUGUCCCUGGCUGCACUCGGGCUGAUGUUCAGUCUAACAGGCAGAGCUUUUCCUGCACUGGGAUCCCAUCAGAACAAGGAAGAAUGCAUUUUAGUCUCGCCUCACACACACAGUGUUUGUAUUCAGCUGUGACUGAGGCCAAUGACUGUUCCUGUGUGGGUAGAACUGAGGUGAAAGCCGAGGAACAGGAAAAUGGAAUCCUUGCCUCGGUGUAAUCAGGGACAGAUCUGCACUUCCCGCUUUGCUGGGAGUAACGCAGACCUCAGGACUGCUGGCUGUGUGGUUCCAGCUCACACCCAAAGCUAAUUAAUCUUUCUGCCAGCAUAGCUGCUCCAGGCUUCUGCCUACAAUAGGUAUUGCUCUUUUACCUUUGUCAGCCUGCCUGCUGGUUACAACGUUCACCUUCUGGGCUCUUCAGGACAAAUUCCCGAUGCUGUGCCCUCAGCGCUGCUUUGAGGUGGAGUUUCCCCUCGCGAAAUCAGGGGGCGCUGGAAAUGUCCUCUCGGCUCCGAUGCCUGGGAAAGGUUUUGCUCGCUGUUCUAUGGGGAUGUGUCACAGCCCUCCUCCUCCUCCUGCCGGCGUGCUUCGUCCUCUGGGGCAGCAGGUGAGGUGCUGCUGAGAUGCCACGUGCUCAGAAGGUGCAAAAAUAAAUAGAGCAGAGGGAAGGUAGGAUGUGGGGAGUCCCAGUUUUUACUGGCAUCCACUCACAAUCAGAUGAUUGGACCAGUAACAAAAAAUAAAUCCCUCUCUCGUCUGACUCUACAAACUGAGCCAUAGAAAGGAGCUUUCUUCCAUGCCCUUCGUCUGUUCUCACAAUACAACAUCUCAUUUCAGCAUCCAUUCAUUCUGCUCUGCCGCAUCACAGACAGAGGCACGAUUGUUUCUGCUGCGAUCCCAAAACCAACUGUGCAGGGAGGGCCACUGGGAGCUGCUCGGUGGGGCAGAGCAGUCCUGGUGGAGCUCAGGGAAGGCUGUCGGCCUCACCGCCCUCCUGGAGGUUAACAGAAGACCAACAGGAAGGAAUCCGGACUGUGAUGUAAACACAGAGUUGUUUCUCUUUGCCUCUCAGAUGGGUAUUAAAUGUGAUCUGAUUAUGGCUUGUUCUGUUUCUUGAAUUGUCCCAUCCGAAUUGCUCCCUUGGAAGACAAACAAUUAUUGUUAAAUGAAUUAUUCAGUAGCUCUAUAGACUGGGUCUGUUUUUCUGCCCCAUUGCACGUGAAGCCCGCUGAGGCUGUAAGUGAGUAAAUGCUCUGUCAGUAGUGGAAGUGUUUUGGCCAACAGCUGACCAACAACUUUACCA
rnacentral:lncRNA from 1 species